UGAUAUUAGUGGAAGUGUUAACGCUCAAUCAACAGAGAGGUGUACAAACCAAUCCGAUUAUGCAGGAAUGAAGGUGUUCAUGAAUUUGAAGCAUUAGGAGAUUGGGCCUGUUGCAGCAACUUUUCUUCCUUUGUUCGGUUGGGUGGCUGACUGGCUCUGCGUAUAGUGUUACAUGAAGAGGUAGAGAACAUAAUGGAUAAACUUUUGCAUUUAUGAUUAAGUGAAUUCUCUUCACAAAAAUUUCUUGUAUGCUUGGAAGUAGAGAAUUGUAAGUAAAUGGUCAAAUUAGUCCCCAAAAGAUCACUCAUUUUUCAAAUUAGUCCCCAAAAGAAUUUUUUUAAUUAAAUUCAUCCUUCGAAGAUUUUAAGUUAGUCAUUUUAGUCCUUACGUCACUUUCAUUGUUAACAGCGUCAAAGUUUGUUGAUGUGACACGUUAAGUGAUAUCACUAUACACACCUAGUAGUCCUAAUUAGUGACUAACAUGUUAAGUUUAUGAAAUUAGGUCAAAUAAACUCCAAAUUGAAGGAUUCCAAUGCCUCAUGUUCUCCCCUCAAUUAGGUUUUGAUUUGAUCUAAUUUCAUAAGCUUAUCAUCUUAAUAGUCAAUUAAGACUCCUAUUUGUGUGUUGUAGUAUCAUUUAACGUGCCACAUUAACAAAUUUUGACAUUGAAUAAAAGAAAUGAUAGAAGGACUAACGCGAUUAAUUUAAAAUCUUUGAAGGACGAUUUGAUUAAAAAAAUCUUUCGGGGACCAAUUUGGAGAACGAGUGAUCUUUCAAGGACGAAUUGGACCAUUUACCCAGAUAAUUGUUUUAAUGCUACAGCAAUGGACAUUAAGGUGAUAGAUAUGAGGUAAUCGCAGAGGAUCGCUUGUCAAGGUGUACUUAAUGAUGCUUGGAAUUACGUUUUACUGUCUGGAAGAGUGGAAGAGCCUGGAAUGUCUUCUGCCUAAUCCUGGGCUCUAGAAAUCUGAAUUAGCAAAGAAGAGGCCACAGUACAAACACUUAAAAGACAACUUUCUCUUGAAUCCUGAAUCACAAGGACAAUGUACAACUCAACAGUUCUGACACUGAUGAUGCCAUUUGAGUGUAGAACCUUACUCUAGAUCAGAAAUACUAGUGGGGAGAAUUCGUUGUGUCUUGGGGAGACCAAUGCAAGGAAUGAUUUCUUCCAAGUAAAUUGCACAUGUCUCUUCUAUAUGUUGAAUUGGGGGGAAAUCAAUAGAUACCUUAUUUAGCUGUUUCUUCUCUUUUUCGUUGUUCAUCUUCUUUAGAAUCCCGAUAGAAUUUUUAUUUUAGUGGAGUUCAUCAAAUUUUGGUAAGCAAAAUACUUGUUUUGUGAUCUGCACAAACCCAUGUAGCAUCCAUUCCAUUAAACUUGUUUGAUGACCCUCUGGUCCAUGAUGUUUUAUCCUUAUCAUAAGAUGCAUUGUCUGCUAGUACUUUGGUUUCACCUUUACUGUUGAUGUAUUCUUAAGUUUCUUGGACUACCGAGGGCAACCUGGGUUGGGACUUGGAUUAGGGAGAGCAAGUCAAGAUUUCAGGAUGUCGUCUUUUGUUGCUUACUGAGGGGACUGUAGAUCAGAAAUGUUAACAGAUGCAAUAUACAUUUCCUUUUACAUAAAUUGGAUAUGAAAAAUAUGUGAUUUACUUUAUAUAAUAAUCAUGUGAAUAGAUAGCAUUGGAGGAUUUAAACUCAUUUUGCUGUCAGAUACUAUUCUGCUAUACGUUUUGGUCACAAAGGGGUUGGUACUUGGAAUUGGAAGUAAUGGGGUAGUCUAAGGCAAUAUAGUGAGGACAUUGUCUAGUCCUCGGUUGUAUUGAAUCUGUUAAAUAGAUUUAUUACUAAAUUAACAAAUAGUGUUGCUCAUUGCUUCAUUCUUUUAGUGAUUUUCUAUAUGUUAAUAUUUGUUUCUUGUCCAUUAUUUUCUGCUCUUUUUAUUUUAUUUUUUUCCUCUACUGGUUUAUGUAUCUCUGCUUGUAAAGUAGCAAUGCGGUUAGUUAUUACUUAUUACACUUCAUUGAGUGCACACUACUAUUAAAGUAUUAGUCAGUUUUUCAGAAAGGUCUAAUUUGUUUUUUGUUGGUUCUAAUUGCCGGGUCAAUCUCCAAUUAGGUGGAUUACUGUGUUGACUCAAGAAUUUAACUUUGCUAACAGCCUUCACAUUUGGGACACUCUUUUAAGUGAUCUAGAAGGUCCACACAGAAUUGGAACCACUGAUAUCAAACUCAACAAACAUUGAUAUGUUUCCUAGCAGACGGGAGUGAGAAUCCAAGAUGGUUGGUACCGAAUCAUUUAAUGGGCAUGCACUGUUUUCAUAUGGGACCAUCACAUAUUUGGAAAAUAGGGUUGGCUUAUAUCCGUUUAUCACUCCAUUUUUAAUGUCUUUAUCAGAAAUAAAAUUGAAUAAAUUAGCACUCAUCACCAUCAUAUAUAUGUACUUGCAGUCUUCAUAUUUAAGUUGAAAGGUUAUACUGAUCGAUCAAGCCCUCUUCUAUCUCUAAAGAUUGCUUGCUUGGAAUCGGAUCCAUGAGCUAUCUGCACCAUAUUUUAUAUAUAUCUUCAUCCUCUCUUAAAUAUGAAUUUCAUAUAUGCUUUAUGGCCUACAUUGAUAUCCUUAAUUAAUUUUAACUAUUUGUAUGUUAGAAGUUAGAACCGUUACAUUAAGAAUAUUAUUAGCAUUAUUACUUUAAUAGUUUAAUCUAGGAUUUAACUAGUUCCAAUAAAAGUAUGC